UUGUCCAAAAAUUUGCAUAUAAAUAGUGAAUUUUCCAUUUUUAAAAAAACUGUAUUGAGCCACAUUAAAAGUUAUAUACAUGUGGUUUUAUGGUUUAAAAUGCGAGAGGUUUCUUCAUGUAUGUAUUUCUAUGUAGUAAAUAUUUAAAAGCGUGCAGCUGGAUAGCCAGCGUGGCCGGCUCUUUCAUAGGGCAGUAACUGGCUAGUAGCCGGGCUACGUGGCAAGGCUAUUUUGUUAAUUAAAUUUUAUGGAAACUGUAUUUGAUUUUCGGUAGUUUAUACUUUGUCACUUAAUUUAACCACUGACGAUAUAGAAGGCGCUA